rnacentral:tRNA from 1 species
UGGUCGAUCAGCCGGUCGGCGCGGUUCGGGACCUGGCGCGCCCAGCGGGAGUCCUGCAUCGCGUCCGCCGCCGCGUUCCAGUCGCCGUUCGCCAGC